GAUGAACGCUGGCGGCGUGCCUAAUACAUGCAAGUCGAGCGAAUGGAUUAAGAGCUUGCUCUUAUGAAGUUAGCGGCGGACGGGUGAGUAACACGUGGGUAACCUGCCCAUAAGACUGGGAUAACUCCGGGAAACCGGGGCUAAUACCGGAUAACAUUUUGAACCGCAUGGUUCGAAAUUGAAAGGCGGCUUCGGCUGUCACUUAUGGAUGGACCCGCGUCGCAUUAGCUAGUUGGUGAGGUAACGGCUCACCAAGGCAACGAUGCGUAGCCGCCCUGAGAGGGUGAUCGGCCACACUGGGACUGCGACACGGCCCAUACUCCUACGGGAGGCAGCAGUAGGGAAUCUUCCGCAAUGGACGAACGUCUGACGGAGCAACGCCGCGUGAGUGAUGAAGGCUUUCGGGUCGUAAAACUCUGUUGUUAGGGAAGAACAAGUGCUAGUUGAAUAAGCUGACACCUUGACGGUACCUAACCAGAAAGCCACGGCUAACUACGUGCCAGCCGCCGCGGUAA
rnacentral:rRNA from 1 species